UAAAGAAUUUCGGUCAUCGAUGGGGAUGCGUUCCAUUAGCUUGUUGGCGGGGUAACGGCCCACCAAGGCAUCGAUGGAUAGGGGUUCUGAGAGGAAGGUCCCCCACAUUGGAACUGAGACACGGUCCAAACUCCUACGGGAGGCAGCAGUGAGGAAUAUUGGUCAAUGGGCGCUAGCCUGAACCAGCCAAGUAGCGUGAAGGAUGACUGCCCUAUGGGUUGUAAACUUCUUUUAUAUGGGAAUAAAGUGCAGUAUGUAUACUGCUUUGCAUGUACCUUAUGAAUAAGGAUCGGCUAACUCCGUGCCAGCAGCCGCGGUAAUACGGAGGAUCCGAGCGUUAUCCGGAUUUAUUGGGUUUAAAGGGAGCGUAGGCGGGUUGUUAAGUCAGUUGUGAAAGUUUGCGGCUCAACCGUAAAAUUGCAGUUGAUACUGGCAUCCUUGAGUACAGUAGAGGUAGGCGGAAUUCGUGGUGUAGCGGUGAAAUGCUUAGAUAUCACGAAGAACUCCGAUUGCGAAGGCAGCCUGCUGGACUGUAACUGACGCUGAUGCUCGAAAGUGUGGGUAUCAAACAGGAUUAGAUACCCUGGUAGUCCACACAGUAAACGAUGAAUACUCGCUGUUUGCGAUACACAGUAA
rnacentral:rRNA from 1 species